CCCGGAUUCACCUGGCAUGCACAGUUUGCCCUUCCCUGUCUUUCUUUCUGGUUCAUGGACAAGAAAGGUAGUGGACGUGGAGGUGCUAUUUGGGACGCCAGAGCCUCGAACUACAUGCUAAGGAUGACUGCGUGGCCGGAGCCUUAAAGAACCGUGGUCUGCCGACCCUCGCACCACUUUCAUGCAGGUCCUCUGCUGAGAGACUGACACAUGGGAUUCCACUCAAUUCUGCUUUGCUUGGGAAGAAACCGGGUGGCUGAAUAAACCUGUCCAGGGCACCACUGCUGGUAGUGAAGACCGCUGCCCUGUCCCGUCCGCCAGCGGCUGUCCACAGUGGGGUGUCGCUCCAGGACCCCUGCGCUGCAGACGUGUAAGACCCCCAUCUACUGAACCACUGAUGUCUCUGUCACUCUGGGCUCUUUAUUCAGUCCUCAGGCUGGGCAAGUACAGGGCUUGCAGGCCUUUGGGAUUCAGCCCAACAACUCUCAGCCCCAGAGCAAACCAAGAAAACAACAGAUAACAAAUAUAAACAGAGCAGCUGGAAUGAGAAAUAAUUAAGGACAGCUCACGAGCCAUCCCGCUUCUGCUAUCCAAAUCAGACAACAGGAACAGAAAUAAUCAGGAUACUAGACUCGGCUGGACAGAUAUUAUUUCCUGCGUAAUUUUCUUAGUCUUUGCAAAUCUUUGCAAGUGAUUAUUUGAGAUCAGAUUUCGCAUACUCUCUAGGCUAGCAGUCAGCUCCGGAAGGUUUUAAUAUUAUAAUUUCUACCUGUGUAUGAAUCAGUGUAUUCUUCCUGCUCAGGAUGUUUAGAGAAGCAAAGAAAUACAGCAUAUUUGCCUGUUACCUCCAGGUCUGAGAUUUCCAGCAGAGAUGAGGUCACAGAGCAGGCAGGCCCGGGUGCAGGGGACUGGUGUAAACCAGAGUGCGUGGAGAGGAGUGGAGGAGGGAGAGAGGAAGACAGAGACUGGAGGGCCAGGGCCAGGAGAGGAGGUCACCCUCAGCCUGCGGGGAGCAAGAGCCUCAACACGGGUGAGAAGAAACGACGUGGAAGCCCACAGUUUUAUGGAACUUACGGAAGACAGGACUAUGUCCUUUAAUAUUUUCUAAUAUUUUCGUUCAGUCAAGCAACCAAGCAGCAACCUCCUUUCAAAGACUAUUUUAUAGCACACUGAUCUUCCCUCUUACAGUGACCCUCUGCUGCUUGCGUAUCCCACUAAUGGUAUGCUCACACGCCAGUGAGCCCAAGUCUGCUCUCAACUUACAUACGGAAAUUCCUUCUCUUUUCCCAUAACCCUCCUCACUUAAUGCAGUUAGGAUUCAGACACUUAAUGCCUUGAGUAGUCACACCAUUGACUUUCCAAUUCACUGACCUUCCCUCCAUCCACACCUCAAACUGAAAAUGGAUUUUGCAAACUAUACUAGAGCCGUCAGCAAGGAGCAAAGUGUGUCUGAACGUCAGCUCCUUUUGUUUCGCGUGUCCACUUUCUGGCUCUACAACUGAUGCAUAGGGAUCUGGCCAAACUGCUGGAGACUUUGGAUAAAGAGAAAGAGGAAAUAGGCUGUGGGAUGCAGAGGUAAGGGAUUAACAAGAAAACAGGUAUGGAUGAUACGACAGAGCCUGGAAACCCUGAACAGCCCGAAGAAGUGCAAGGGAGAUUUGCUCUACACAAACCAAACACGUACACAUCAGUAUAUCAGACGGAGCCUGAGCAAGUUCCUGGUGUGUAUGCCAAGCAAGUCUGGGGAAAACAGAAGUGAAAUGAAAUAAACUAAGCAAUUUGGUAAAAUAUCUUCUUUGUUAACUUAAACUGUAUGGACGGGCCAAGUUUGGCCCAGAAACAAGCAUUUGCCUGAUUCUUUGGCCAACACAAUACGUACUGGAUAAGAGUUUGGUUUGCUUCGUGUCCAAAGAAACAAACUCAAGGGCUUGUAUGGACUGCGGUUUUGAGCUCUGGUCAGUGGCGUUACCCUUGGCCUGACUCGUCCUUGAUCGCACACAAGUUCUUAUCAUUACCUCUUGGGCUCUAAGCCUUUUCUCUCUUCUUCCUCCAAAGACUGCAGAAGGACCAGGCAAGAGAGAGAGAGAGACACGACGACUGAAGACAGCGUGGAGGGAGGGCAGGGAAAAUAAACAUGAAAAACUCAAACCACUCCGCUUCGGUCUGUGCAUCUACUAAAGGUGUGCAUAUCGUAACAGGACCUUGACAGCAGACACCACAUGGUCCUGGGCAGUGGGCAUGUUAUGACCAGAGCCCCAGAAUCUGCUGUUACAGCUCAGGUCUCCAAGUCUUACCAGCACAGAAAAUACUCACUACAGUAUUCUCUACCACUACUACUGAGCCAUCAGCGAUCACCACAGAGCCCACAUUACAGCCUGGCUAUCUACUUGUAUAAGGACCAUAUCAACCAAAAAUGCAUUUCCGGCUUCCAUUAGCUCUGAGGGUCCGUGAGCUAUGCCAAUGUUCUCCAAUUUCACUGCGUACAAAGCUCCCACUGGCUUUAUCAACUGGUUUUUCAACUUCCAAGAGUCCAUUAACUAGCUUCAGGAACACCUGAAGACCUUUUUUAGUUUCUCCCAAUCAACAUGUAUCUUCCUACCAAAUAAAUACCAUGUAUGUGUGAACUGCUUUGAAAUUUUCUAAGCCUGCUAAAUCAAUGUAUGUCCCUAAAGGCUAAAAGCAGAAUUCUAAAAGAUACAAAUAUCAACCAUUCCAACUGUAAUAGUUCCUGAUUAAAUACAUAGUCUAAAAAUAUUAUAUAAAUUUAAGUCAAGUCAAAGUUAGAAAG